AGGGUUUGAUCCUGGCUCAGAACGUACGCUGGCGGCACGCCUAACACAUGCAAGUCGAACGCAGUAGCAAUACUUAGUGGCAGACGGGUGAGUAACAUGUAGGUAUCUGCCCUUUGGCCUGGAAUAACACGAGGAAACUUGUGCUAAUACCGGAUAAGUCUUUACGGAGAAAGCUUUAUGCACCAUUGGAUGAGCCUGCACUUGAUUAGUUUGUUGGUGGGGUAAUGGCCUACCAAGACUGUGAUCAAUAGCUGAUUUGAGAGGAUGAUCAGCCACAUUGGGACUGAGACACGGCCCAAACUCCUACGGGAGGCAGCAGUGGGGAAUCUUGCACAAUGGAGGAAACUCUGAUGCAGCGAUGCCGCGUGAGUGAAGAAGGCCCUUGGGUUGUAAAGCUCUUUCGUCGGGGAAGAAAAUGACUGUACCCGAAUAAGAAGGUCCGGCUAACUUCGUGCCAGCAGCCGCGGUAAUACGAAGGGACCUAGCGUAGUUCGGAAUUACUGGGCUUAAAGAGUUCGUAGGUGGUUGAAAAAGUUGGUGGUGAAAUCCCAGAGCUUAACUCUGGAACUGCCAUCAAAACUUUUCAGCUAGAGUAUGAUAGAGGAAAGCAGAAUUUCUAGUGUAGAGGUGAAAUUCGUAGAUAUUAGAAAGAAUACCAAUUGCGAAGGCAGCUUUCUGGAUCAUUACUGACACUGAGGAACGAAAGCAUGGGUAGCGAAGAGGAUUAGAUACCCUCGUAGUCCAUGCCGUAAACGAUGUGUGUUAGACGUUGGAAAUUUAUUUUCAGUGUCGCAGCGAAAGCGAUAAACACACCGCCUGGGGAGUACGACCGCAAGGUUAAAACUCAAAUGAAUUGACGGGGACCCGCACAAGUAGUGGAGCAUGUGGUUUAAUUCGAAGAUACGCGCAGAACCUUACCAACACUUGACAUGUUCGUCGCGACUUUGAGAGAUCAAAGUUUUCGGUUCGGCCGGACGAAACACAGGUGCUGCAUGGCUGUCGUCAGCUCGUGUCGUGAGAUGUUGGGUUAAGUCCCGCAACGAGCGCAACCCUCACUUUUAGUUGCCAUCAUUAAGUUGGGCACUCUGAAAGAACUGCCAGUGAUAAGCUGGAGGAAGGUGGGGAUGACGUCAAGUCCUCAUGGCCCUUACGUGUUGGGCUACACACGUGCUACAAUGGUAUCUACAACAGGAAGCAAAACUGCGAGGUUAAGCAAAUCCUUAAAAGAUACCUCAGUUCGGAUUGCACUCUGCAACUCGAGUGCAUGAAGCUGGAAUUACUAGUAAUCGUGGAUCAGCGUGCCACGGUGAAUGCGUUCCCGGGUCUUGUACACACCGCCCGUCACACCAUGGGAGUUGGUUCUACCUUAAGGCAAGGUUUCAAACCCUUGACCACGGUAUAGUCAGCGACUGGGGUGAAGUCGUAACAAGGUAGCCGUA
rnacentral:rRNA from 1 species